rnacentral:rRNA from 1 species
AGGGUUUGAUUAUGGCUCAGAGUGAACGCUGGCGGCGUGCUUAACACAUGCAAGUCGAACGAGAACGGAUUAUAGCUUGCUGUAAUUGUCAGCUAAGUGGCGCACGGGUGAGUAAUGCAUAGGUAAUAUGCCUCUUACUAAGGGAUAACAAUUGGAAACGAUUGCUAAUACCUUAUACUCCUUGUUGACUUAAGUUAAUAAGGGAAAGAUUUAUUGGUAAGAGAUUAGCCUGUAUUGUAUCAGUUAGUUGGUGGGGUAAUGGCCUACCAAGACUAUGACACACAUUAAGUGUACCGCCUGGGGAGUACGGUCGCAAGAUUAAAACUCAAAGGAAUAGACGGGGACCCGCACAAGCGGUGGAGCAUGUGGUUUAAUUCGACGAUACACGAAGAACCUUACCUGGACUUGACAUAGUAAGAACUUUCUAGAGAUAGAUUGGUGUCUGCUUGCAGAAACUUAUAUACAGGUGCUGCACGGCUGUCGUCAGCUCGUGUCGUGAGAUGUUGGGUUAAGUCCCGCAACGAGCGCAACCCUCGUGUUUAGUUGCUAACAGUUCGGCUGAGAACUCUAAACAGACUGCCUACGCAAGUAGGAGGAAGGUGAGGACGACGUCAAGUCAUCAUGGCCCUUACGUCCAGGGCUACACACGUGCUACAAUGGGAUAUACAAAGAGCGGCAAUACGGUGACGUGGAGCAAAUCUUAUAAAAUAUCUCCCAGUUCGGAUUGUAGUCUGCAACUCGACUACAUGAAGUUGGAAUCGCUAGUAAUCGUAGAUCAGCUAUGCUACGGUGAAUACGUUCCCGGGUCUUGUACUCACCGCCCGUCACACCAUGGGAGUCGAACUCAUUCGAAGCGGGGAUGCUAAAAUAGCUACCUUCCACAGUGGAUUUGGCGACUGGGGUGAAGUCGUAACAAGGUAACCGUAGGAGAACCUGCGGUUGGAUCACCUCCUUUCU